UUAUUCUUUUGGUGGUGGUUUGUUAUAUUUAUUUGCGUAUUUAUUUUUGCGGUGGGAGGGUGGGAAUAUUAAUUGCAUGUACAAUAUUAUAGGACAUUAUUACACAAAUUGACUAAGUCCCACAGUAAGCUCAAUAAGGCUUGUGUUGUGGGUACUUAGACAACGAUAUAUAUACAUAUUUAUAAAUACUUAAAUACAAUGAAGACA